rnacentral:lncRNA from 1 species
AUAGCAUCUCAUGAAACAAAAAAUAUGAAUUUAUAUACAUAAAAAUAAAGGAAUACAAUAAGGUAUCAUUAACUUUUGUAUUAAAUAUUUAGGGGUUAUAAAUAUAAAAUCAUGAAUAGCUUGAGAGUUACAAAUAUUAUUAGUAGAAAUUAAAUAGAUGAGUUAAUAAAUAGAGUUUAAAUGUGGUGACUUUUGAUUUUUCUUUAAACACACAACUAUUUAAAAUAAGAAGAAAACUCAAUAAAUAUUCAAAAAAAAAAACACAAAAAAGAUAAAUAGGUUUGAAGGCUUCUAAGAUAUGCCACAUAGGAUUGGCUAUUGAUCUCUUUUAUA